rnacentral:lncRNA from 13 species
UCCGACUGAAGUCAAUGGAAGAGUGGCACACUCUUAUUCACUGGCGUGUUGAGUUUCUCGGUUUUCAAGCUUCUCUGACGCUAGCCCACAGUGGCUCGAACGGAAAUAGAACGAUAGUGGGUAAGCGGCUACUGUGUCUCCGACUGUAGUCAUAGAUAUAGUACUCUGAUUCUCAAAGAUAUUCUAUGAUCGUAAGUACACUUCAACACGACAUAUGUGCAUCUAUACUAUGCACUUAUUGUCCUCAUACCUUUUCAAUUAACAAGCACGUAUAUAUUUUUCUCACUCAAUGAUUUAAUGUCCAGUGUCAUCCUUCUCAUAUUUUAUAUAUGUACCUUUUACAUACCUCUCACAUGAAAACUUAAAAACACAUUCAAUGUGCAUCCAAUGUGGGAAAACUCUGGGCCAUUCCAAAUCAAGUGAUCAAGAAAAACUCCCUAGGAGCAGGAAAAACUCCCUAGGCCCUAAUGUAAUGCACUGACCUCUGCUCCUCUCCCCCUGGCUGUGACAGGAGAGCCAGGAGGCGGCUAGCCACCAGAUCCCAGACGGCCCCUCCGGACCCCCGGCUCUAGCUGCAGCCCUGGAGUCCCACCACCACAGCAACGGUCCCAGCCCUCAGCCGUCCAUGGUCUCAGCUUUGGAGCUCCUCCCACUAAUGGUGGCUACGCCCAUCACGAGGAAGAGGAGGCGAUAGAGGAGGAUUUCCCCUCACCACCUUCGCCUGGCUCCGUGGAGGAGACGAACGCUAAACUCCCAUGCACAACACAACCUCACCGGAGUGAGCGGAACAAGACUCCCUAUUCUCCUGAGGGUCCCCUUCACCCAGACACACAGAGAGCACAGCAACCCAGGCAGACGGACUACCCUCAGACAAGGAACUCUUAAGAGCACGGACCUGGGUGAGCACACAGUGUUGCACACAUGCACUCACAUUCCGAUAUGGAGGGAUUUCAGUGCCAACCGAAAUUGCAUUUGAAUUCCAUAGUUUUUAAUUGGUGUUGAGAUGUUGAAUUUAUUAUUUUUUAAUUGGUA